GCCAUUUCCCCUUGUCCUGUUGGUAGCUGCCUAGGAGAAGAGGCCAAUCCCCACCUGUCUAGAACCUUUUAUCAGGUGGUGAUACAGAGCAAUAAAGUCUCCCCCGAGCCUCCUUUUCUCCAGGCUGAGCCGCCCAGCUCCUCAUAAGAGGGUGGUGUGCCCCAGACGCUUCCCCAGCUUCGCUGCCCUUCUCUGGGCACACCCCAGUGCCUCAGUGGAACCACAGAAUUACAUUUGCCCUCCUUGGCUCCCCGUUGCCCCCCCGAGAGCCCCGGGCCGUGGCUCGGUCCGUGAGGGACGCGGGUGCCCAGCGGGCCGGGGUGCUGGCCCUGCCGCCGUCCCGCCAGGCCCCGGCAGCGACCGCCCGGUGCCGUGACUGCUGACAGCUGAGGCUGAGCAGCUCCGGCAGCAGCAGAAAUCCCCUGGCCUUACAUUGCUGGAAGAUUUCCCAGAGACAGAAGGAUAAACUCUAAGCCAGGAUACAACUCUUUUGAAAACCUGUGGCCUAACUGGACACAGGGGUCGCUCCGGUGAUGGCUGCAUGGGGAAGGCUGCAGUGGAAGAGAGGAGCCACUCGCACAUGACGGUGCAAAGAGGGAUACGAAGCCUCCCUGACACAGGGACAAGGAUGAGCCCGGGGGCAGCUUAGAAAUUGACUGUUAGCAGUGAGAAUGAUAAAACAAACCCACUGGAUUGCUCUCUCUCAAGAGACCAAAAGACAAACUUUAAAAGAGGCCUUUCUCCAGCGCUGAUUUAUAGAAACCCUCUGCACAUCUAUUUGGUAGGGGAGAUUGCCACACCAUGAACCAGAGGCACAUUUGGGUGUCCAAAUGCAGCCAUGAAGAGACUUUGCUGCUGUCUUGAUUGACAUUGUUCAUAAGAUGUGAAGAGAAGAGUAUUUCCAUGAGGGAAGUACAGAUACAGUUUAAAGCAACCUAUAAAAAUAGACUUAUAAAUGGUUUUAAGUCCCUGUUUGAGUAAGAUAGAUAAUUAGUCCACUUACGUAGGGUUCUUUUACUGUUUCUCUCAAGUGGGUAGUCUUAAAUAACUUGUAAUCUUAUUUAUAUUAGUUUAACACAGAAUGUGGGACUGAUCUUUUUUCAUUGUAUGAAUGCUUUUUUAGGUUACAUCAACCUGCUCUAGUAAUUUCAAUUUUGAAAGAAAUUUUUAAAAACACUAAUUAUUAUUCUGUUUAUGCUAUGAAUUAUUAUUACAGGUUGCGUGUUCAUUAUUAAUGAAGUCCAUCAAGGAAUUCUAGAAAUCAGUGUUGAAGCAUUAUGUUACUGUAGUAGUGUCUGGUGGUAUCUGUCAUAUUUUUCAUGGAAAAAAAUAUUCCAGGCAUGUGUAGCACUCUAUCUAUCACCUGUCUAUCUGGGCAUGAUAAAUGCAGCAAAAAACCCCAAAGCAUUGACAUUGAUAUGAGUUUUCCAUUGACUUCUAUCAAACAAGAAAUAGACCCAGUUCAGGGGCCUGGCCAAGGUUUCUACUUGUAAUAACUAUUUUAAGCCUUUUUUCUUUUUCCACACAAAGUUAUUAUUUUAUGGAAAGAAAUAUAAACAGAAAUGAAAUGCCACAUAUAUCCAAUAUAAAAAUUAAAAACCAAAGCAGGAAAACUAUCAUCUACAACCUUCUUUGCUUUAAUUUUCUAAUCUGCCUAAGGAGCUACUGAAAUAAUUGGGGCCUUUAAGAUUUUGAUAAAAUCUUUUUUUUUCACAAUUCUGCAAAGCUGAAAAAGGCAUAACAACUACGGCCAAUAUUUGUAUACUUGUCUAUUCCUCUCUCUUUGUGUUUGACCCGCUUUAAUGUAAAAUAUUUCUGACUGUGCAGUUAGCCAGAAAACCAAAAAUAGGAAAUACUACUCCAGCUCGGUUUGCUAAGGUGCUAAAAAGGCUUGUGGAUAAAUUCACAGAGUGUGUAAUGCAUCUGUGAUUCUGCCACUUCACAGCCCCUUCCCUCUCCCCAGCCUCCCCCAUGCCUCUACUGCAUCUGUGCAUAAUCAGGGAGAACAGAAACCUUUCUUUUACACGGUCUUAUCUCAAUAUCCUUUGUUCAUGCAAAGCAGCAGCUCAUGAAUGCCAGUUGCUUUGCUCUUCCUCUGUCUCACAAAGGUUGUGGUUUUUCAGUUCCAAGGGGAGAAACCUAUCAUUCCCAAACAAUUGAAGAGAUUUGUAUCUGAACCUAAAUAAACAAAAGCUGUCCCUAGGGGACAUGGAAAAUGUUUUUCUCUAGAGAAGCAGUUCCUUCAGGUGCCCCAAGUCCCUGGGGCCAUGCUGCAGCUCCUGCCGAGGUCCACCCUGCAGCCAGUGCUAGAUGAAAGGAAGGCACAUCUUGGGCUGAAGGGAAGGAGUGCAAGGUACCAGGGGCUACUGCUCCUUCUGGGGCACAUGGCAGGAGGUGUCUGGGGCUGAGGCAGAGAAUGGGAGGCAGGAAAUCCUUCCCCCACCAACCCCGAGUGCUGGGAACCCCAGGGUGCUGCCCAUCCUCCCCAGGCUGUCCCAAAGGAUCAGGGCAUGAGGGGAAGAACAAAGGGCAGCUAGAGGGACAGUCACACUAGGAUUUGGAGCUGGUGGACAGAGUCUUCAAGGACAGAAGAAGAGCUGUGUAAACCAAUGAAGCUAACUGUUCACCUUCACAAAGGUAAAAGGCAAUUUUGAAGGCUUGCCUAAGAACCUCACCCUUACACAGAUCUCUGAUAAUACCCUCUCCCAUCCUUAAACCUUUCCUCCAGUCAACUUUAACUCUCCCCGUCUUUAUCUUCAACCUACAACCUAAUUCUUUGCCUUUCUACUUGACAAAUCUUGUUUCUCAUGGUGUCUUUUCCCUCUUCUCAGAACUUUUAGUUCUGCAGAGGACAACACACCUGCUUUGAUCCACUACUCUCAGAAUUCAGAAGUUAUAUCAAGAUAGAAGGGAUCCAUAAGAAUCACCAAGUUCAAUGCCCUGCUAUCCACAGGACAAUUGUUUCUAUGUCUGUUCCCUACAGCAAUUUAAAUGGAGAUUGUCAACCGGCGACACCCUGGAGGAGAGUUAAACACGUGGACAGAACUUCUGUGUGGAACGUUUUGUUUCCAGCUAUGUACAUGAAAGGCAUUUUUGAGAAGAAAGUUGCUGCAGUCACAGCCUAGCAAAGCAAACUUACUAAUUAACUGCAGGCUGCACCACUUGCACUUAGCUACGUGCCCAGGCUGACAACACCGCCUUCAGUGCCGGUUUGCAAACAAAUUUAAAUAUUCAGUGCACAGCUUCUGGGAAAAAGGCCAUCUUUCUUCAUGCUGUAGCUUUGGGAUGUAACAUUUAUUAGUGACUUAUGCUUAUUUCCACUGGCUUUGUGAUGCCAGGAGAGUUAGCAGCAGGCUGAAUCCUCUAGUUGUAUACACCCAGUAGGAACAGAGAGGGGAAGGAGCUACCAUGGGGGAUGGAGCAGAGGGAGGAAUGUGGAGAUGCCUGUGUAAUGCUGGUUGGCAGUAUGGCUGUCUGGAAAAGCAAAAUCUCCUUUGUGGCAUAUGCAGAGGUUUAAAAUCUGUUUAUACUGUGUGUCAGAAUGUAAAUUAUUUCUAUUAAAAAAGUACACCAAAAGUAAGUAAAAGCAAAGAAUAUCUCCACCAAGUGUCUGAUAACCAGCCUCAACAUCUUUUGGUCUUCUCUGUGUCUCCUUCAGCCAAUUGGCCAUUCCUUUUCUGCCAGGCUCACAACUUUGAUCCUCUGCUAAGUGAACUCCCCCUCCCUUGUCCUUUUUUCCUGCCUUCCUGGAAAAAGGAUGCCUUUUCUUUUUUGUUGGUCCCUCAGUCUGAGGAAUAGCUGCACUUAAUUUGAGAGGGAAAUGUUGAAAGCUUUUGUCAGACUGUUUAUUGUGAACUCUUGGAGAUGACUGGUGUUAGCUUUAUGCAGCAUCAAGGGUUCACUACUUCAGGCAAAUAAUGUAUUUCUUCCCCUUUUAAAACACUGUUCCUAAAAAGGUUUCUUGCUCAACUUGUAUAAACCUUAGAAUAGCAACUCCAACUUGAUAGAAAGCAUCAAAUCAAGUCUCUAUAUCUGAUAGAGAAAAAAAAAAUAAAAUAAACCCAGGUUAUAGUAUACACUUGUAGAGAAAUCUGACCUUAUUACUGGAUAAAUAAUGUUCAUCCUCACUUGGGAUUGCCAUAGUUUAAAUCUCUGGACAAUGAAGAGAAAUAAUUUACAGACGCACAGCCUUUUUACUAAAGAACAAGUUUCCAGAGAUUUUCCCAAGGCUGACCUAAAGUAAUCAAUUUGCAGUUCUGACUUCAUAAUAUGACUUGUGAUUCCUCUAAUGCAUGUGCUCUCUCCUGCAAGUGUGCUCCAGCUGGUUUAUACUCACCAUGACUGAAUUCGUGCUUCCUAAUAAAAUUUCUGAGGGAGUGUGCUGUGGUGUUACAAUGUACUUGAAGUGAUAAAUGAAG